GAUGAAGAACGUAGCGAAAUGCGAUACGUAAUGUGAAUUGCAGAAUUCAGUGAAUCAUCGAAUCUUUGAACGCAUAUUGCGCUCUUUGGUAUUCCGGAGAGCAUGCUUGUUUGAGUAUCAGUAAACACCUCAACUUCCAUAUCUUUUUUGAAAUGGGAGUUGGACUUGAGUGAUCCCAACGCUUUUCCUCACCGAAAAGUGGCGGGUUACUUGAAAUGCAGGUGCAGCUGGACUUUUCUCUGAGCUAUAAGCAUAUCUAUUUAGUCUGCCUAAAAAACAGAUUAUUACCUUUGCUGCAGCUAACAUAAAGGAGAUUAGUUCUUGUGCUGACUGAUGCAGGAUUCACAAAGACAGGCUUCGGCCGACUUUGUAAACUCGAUCUCAAAUCAAGUAAGACUACCCGCUGAACUUAAGCAUAUCAAUAAGCGGAGGA
rnacentral:misc_RNA from 1 species